UUGAGCCUUGAUGUGUAGGAUAGGUGGGAGGCUUAGAAGUGUGGACGCCAGUCUGCAUGGAGCCGACCUUGAAAUACCACCCUUUAAUGUUUGAUGUUCUAACGUUGACCCGUAAUCCGGGUUGCGGACAGUGUCUGGUGGGUAGUUUGACUGGGGCGGUCUCCUCCUAAAGAGUAACGGAGGAGCACGAAGGUUGGCUAAUCCUGGUCGGACAUCAGGAGGUUAGUGCAAUGGCAUAAGCCAGCUUGACUGCGAGCGUGACGGCGCGAGCAGGUGCGAAAGCAGGUCAUAGUGAUCCGGUGGUUCUGAAUGGAAGGGCCAUCGCUCAACGGAUAAAAGGUACUCCGGGGAUAACAGGCUGAUACCGCCCAAGAGUUCAUAUCGACGGCGGUGUUUGGCACCUCGAUGUCGGCUCAUCACAUCCUGGGGCUGAAGUAGGUCCCAAGGGUAUGGCUGUUCGCCAUUUAAAGUGGUACGCGAGCUGGGUUUAGAACGUCGUGAGACAGUUCGGUCCCUAUCUGCCGUGGGCGCUGGAGAACUGAGGGGGGCUGCUCCUAGUACGAGAGGACCGGAGUGGACGCAUCACUGGUGUUCGGGUUGUCAUGCCAAUGGCACUGCCCGGUAGCUAAAUGCGGAAGAGAUAAGUGCUGAAAGCAUCUAAGCACGAAACUUGCC
rnacentral:rRNA from 1 species